CUGGCGGCGUGCCUAACACAUGCAAGUCGAGCGAGAAUCGUCAAGCAGAGAUUCGUCGAAGUGAGAUGAAGGACAGCGGCGGACGGGUGAGUAACGCGUAGGUAACCUACCUUAUACUGGAGGAUAGCCUAGGGAAACCUGGAUUAAUACUCCAUAAUGCAUUUUAAGUCACAUGGCUUGGAUGCCAAAGAUUUAUCGGUGUAAGAUGGACCUGCGUCUGAUUAGAUAGUUGGUGAGGUAACGGCCCACCAAGUCAACGAUCAGUAGCCGAUCUGAGAGGAUAAUCGGCCACAUUGGAACUGAGACACGGUCCAAACUCCUACGGGAGGCAGCAGUGGGGAAUAUUGCACAAUGGGCGAAAGCCUGAUGCAGCGACGCCGCCGUGAGUGAAGAAGUAUUUCGGUAUGUAAAGCUCUAUCAGCAGGGAAGAAAGACCUCGUAAGAGGGGAUGACGGUACCUGAGUAAGAAGCCCCGGCUAACUACGUGCCAGCAGCGGC
rnacentral:rRNA from 1 species